rnacentral:lncRNA from 1 species
GCUUGCCCAGAGAUUUCUAGCUCCUAUCUAAUAAAAUACUGCAAGAAAGCAUGCAAGACCCUCUACACUAUUGCAGGGAUAAAUUUGGAGCAUUCGUGCUACAGGGGUGCCAAGGUUCCAGGAGACUAAGUUUCCGUGAAACUUUUUGCCUCAGGACUGUGUUCAAGCUUUUGGGCCUGCCAAGCAGUCUUCACUGGAGUGGGUGUGGCGAUUUAUAUUUUUAUUUAUUUACUUUUUUUUUUUUUGGUGUGUAAUGGUUGAUAUUGGGAACUUAAGUGAAUGAUAUUCCUCCUGAAUUAUACUCAUAUAUGCCUGUAUGUGAGACUCUCAGGAAGCAGAAGCUCUGCUCCUUUGUCUUUGAGUGGGUAAUGUGCUAAGCCACAGAAGGUGGGCGGGUGUUGGAGAGAGAGCCCUGUAGGGUGUUAGGUCUCUCUGGGUAGUUGGUGACCCACACUCUGAGGAGUAGAAGGAGCACAGUGUAGAAUAAAGUGCUAAUAUCAGUGGACUGACGUGACAGUAUUCUUGUUAAAUGUAGUUUUUGUAGCUGUAAUUAUUUACACAGGUCCUGGGACAAUUCAAUACAUGUUACAGUAUGCAGUGAUCAAAUCGUGAUAAUUGCGAAAUAAUCUUCAAAAAACACAAAUGUUUUACAUUUUAACUCAGCACAUUAAAAACAUAUGAUUUGAAAAGAGUAUGUAAUAUUAUGUGAAUGUAUUAAAAUAUUCUUCAGACAUUGGACUGUUCUGAGGUUCUCAGUAAGGUUUUUACUUUCUGUUUGUUUCUAUGUUUAUUGAUAUAAUUAAGAAGUAGAUCUUUUAUAUAAAAUGAAGGGACUUGUAUAUGUUAUUGGUUCACAUUGAGACUUGGAGACAGAUGAUUUAAGAAGAGUCAAGAUGAUCCCAGGAAGGUUGGGAGGACAUCCUGCCAGAGGAGAGUCACAGGCUCAGUGCUGUGAUUCAUUGCUUUGGUUUUCACUGGGAUUUCAGUUUAAGGAGAAUGUUGUGAGUCACUGAUUGAUACAGACAGAACUUGGACACCCUUAACGCCUUGUCAGAUCAAAGUGGGAGCACCUGCUUAGAACCAGCCUGGUGACUUUUCCAUGGCAAGUUUUUGGUGAAUAUUGUUAACUUGAUUUGGUUGAGUUUUCAUUAGAGCAUGAUGAGACCACGGAGUGCUCUUUUAUUUACCAGUUUGUUUUAUUGUCGGUGAACUGUCUUAAUUUCCAAGGUUGUGGGUGUCUUCUCUAUUAAAUAAUAAAAAUUUCCCUCAUUUACCACUACUUUACCUCCUCUUCCCCUCCCUCCCUCCCUCCCUCCCACCCUCCCUCCCUCCCUCCCUCCCUCCCUCCUUCCCUCCCUUUCCCUUCCUUCCUUUCUUGUGCUGUGACACCUUUGUCGUGUGUUAUGUGUAUGUGCAGAUAUAGGGAUGCCAAGGCCUUAAAAGAAAAGCCUCAGGUCCUUACCUGGCCUUCUAAGGUACCAAUCACUAAGUUUCUUUGUUCUUUGCUACUGCACGGCUUUUGCCUGGCUAGUGGACUUGGUAGCUUCUUGGGAUUCUCCUGUGUCAGUCUCCUCUCUCCCCAUAGGAGCCCUGGGGUUACAGAUGGAUGCUACCAAACCCAACUUUUAUGUGGGUUCUGGGAAUUUAAUUAAGGUCCAUCUCCCUGAGUACUUUACUCAGAGGGCCAUCUCCCAAACUCUUCUUUGAUUGAGCAGGAAUUGAAUGCAUGUGUGAAUUGAAAUUGUAUCUCACUUUACCCCAGAUAAUAGAAGGCCCCCUGAGGAGAAAAUAACCACUAGAGACUCUUACAUUGCAAAUUACUUAAAUAUCUGCAACUAAAUGCAAAUGAAAGAGAAUUCCCCUUCAAAUGAGAGAGCAUCUUUAACAAAUGAAGCUAGCUUUGUUGCUGUAAAAGGAAACAAACCACUCUUUUGCUUGAAAUUUAUCAAAAUGAGUUAGAAACUUAGAUGCAUGCAAAACCCUAUGCCAUCCACAGGCUGCAGGCCUGCUGCUUCAAGUCUACACAGGAAGAUUAUUUUUUUGUAGGAAACAUUCGCACAGCUUUGUUCUGGUACUUUACAGACAUUAACUCUUGUUGGAUGGUAUUAUACAUGCUAAACAAAUGAAGAACUUGAGGCACAAAGAAAAGGUGAGGUGGGAGUGGGGGUGGAGUGGGCCCCAGUGUUGCCCAUCUUACCCCUGGUCAAUUCUGAGCACAGUGAACCAUUGGUACUAAAGAGAAACAUGGCACUGGUCAGCAAUGCUCUUUGGGAUUGGUCCUAAUGGACUGGUGAACUUGGAAUGCUUGCCUGUUAUCCUGUAUGCUGUGUCAUGCGUCUUUUAUGUUAUAAGGUGAAGCAUUACGUAUCUGGAAGUCACCUAGAUUUUAAUGCUUAACAGACAGACCUACUUUUGCAUCCUGACUGCCAUUUAGUUGUUAUUACUUGAGCUGUCAGGGAUGGAAUCAAUAGUGAGUAGCUAUGGGACAGGCUAAGCCACAGAGAAGGCAUUCAGUAGGUGGGGUGAUGUGCCAAACACUGUAAUUAGUGUGGUCAAACUAGAAGUCUCAUGACAAAGGAGAAACACAUGCAUAUCUGAUUUUAGCAUCAUUUCAUCAAGCAUAGUAAGACCUGUACCAUAGGGAAGUGGCAAAGUCAAAAUCCUUGCCCAACUUGUAUUUGCGAAUAGUAUGUCAGGUAGACCUGGAAUAAUUAGGUCCUAUAAAUAAUAAUGAAAAAUUUCCUCAUUUCCAGUUAUUGAUUGUAUUGGCUAUUGUGCUCUCAUUAUGUGUUGAUUAUCAACAAUGACUAAGAUAAUAGCAAUGGCUUUCAAAUUCAAUUGAUAAGUUAUAUUUGGGAGCAGCCUAGAUGUUUGUCAGCAUGGGUACUGUUUGUGUGUAUGUGAGUUUAAGUGGUCGCACCUCUGGUGUCUGUCUGUACCUAUGUUCCUGAAUGAGGUGGGCUGGGCCAGCCUGCUGGAGAGCAGUCUUUUCCUCUCAAGAGGCAGUAGGAAGCUGUCCACUUCUGAUGGUGCUGACUCCUGCAGCGAAGAAGACAACAGGUAGCUGAAGCUGACAGGGAUGUGGGUGUGGGCGGAGGGGAGUUGGGAUUCUCUACCGGUCAGAAACAAAAACCGAAACAAACUCGUGAAGAGGCCCUGUGGCGGCGAUCCCUGGGUUAGAAGAAUUUGUCUUUGUUUAAAGCUGCGAGUUUAGAUUCUUCACCAGGCUCGUCUUCCAGCACUGAUGUGUGAUGUGUGUAAGGGAAAAGGGACAGCCUGCAUUUGCCAGUGUAUGGUGGCCACUGAGAACUAUCUAUGGGUUGAAUGAAAGAGUCUUUGAAAGAUUUUUACUUCUGCUGGACACAGUGUUCUACCAGAGUGUGAAAUUUCUCGAGUUCAUCACAAGCUUAUGGUUGAUCGUGAGCCAGUUCUCCAAGAUCAGUGCACACAGCACCCAGAGCCCUGUCACCGGAAAUCAGGACUUGAGAAGAUGGGUGCGUUUGUGCAUAUUUGGAGGGUAGAGUUAUUUUUGUACAUGUGUGUGCCUGUGUGUGUGUAUGCAUAUAUGUGUGAGUGUGUAUGUGUAUGCAUGUGUGUGCGUUUGUCUGAUUAAACUUGCUGUGGAACCUUGGCAAACACAUAUGUGACCUGACCUGAACAAACUGUUGUCCCUUGUUCAAACGGUCAUUUCAUUUUCACAAGGUAAAGGAUUGCUUACAUUUGCUGAUGUUUAUUAUAUAAUAUGAAGUACAGUAUAACAAAAAUAUUAAUCUACCAACAGUAUAAUUUUCUAAGAAAGAAAACCAGGUUACGGUGUGUAAAAUCGGGUCUGUGGUAAACCGCAUAGGACUGUACAUCUUUCCUGUUUUGGAAGGAGUCAGAACUUGGUGUUUUAUAUAAUUUCAGAGGACCAUCCAAGAAAUUAUUAGAAUUGACUUUUACAUGUAGUAUGUUGAACUAAUAUUAGAAUUUCAUGUAGCCAUAGUUAAUUUCAAGUACUUUUUGAUAAAAACC